CCUCUCUCAGGGUUGUACCUGGAGAGUUUCCAGUACUCUACCAAUUACGGCUAUAGGAGGGAGAGUCAAGCAGAGGCCUGUCCAUUCCAUUCCUAGCUUGGGCAGUGGUUAGCGAGUGGAAGGCAAUCUGCUACAAGU